GGUCAGAACGGGCAGGGGACGGGGGACGGGCUGGCUGUGCUGCUGGCAGAGUCGAGGGACCUCGCUCCAAGAGACGAAGUUUAAGGAAGACGAACAAGACAGAGAAGCAGAGGCCACUCGGGUCAGUGGUCAGACACCACAGAGACCCCAUUCAGGACAUCUCAGCAAGAUCUGGAAGCAAUCUGAAGCUGGGCCAUCCCUGCCCCACCUGGCUACUGUCCCACAGAGAUGGAGUCGUUCUGCCCAUGUCCACACAUCCAGCCGACACCAGCACUGCAGCUCUGGGGCACAGAGUCACUCAUGCCAGCACCCACUGAGUUCUGACAAGCCACAUUUGUUUCCAGGCAGAGCCUCCAACUUCUGGCCGUAGUCCUGGAGGAGAGGGGGGGCAGAAGGAGCCAUGAGGCUGGGAUUGCUGUCCAGGGCCCCUACUGGUGACACAGGAGAACGUCCCAUCUCAUCACUUUGCAGACAACGACAUCCUUGCACAAAUCAUCCCAUCCGUGCUCAGUGUCAUGGCAGCCCCUCAGCCACCAGGUGUCAGUGCGAUCAAACGUUUGGCAGAUGGGACCACAGCAAAGUCCUGGGAGGUGGAAAACACUUUUCCUGGAAUUACUCUGUCUUCUGUCUGCUCUGGAGCCUGGUGCACCCCUCUGAGAAGACCGGCUUUGACAGUCUUUGUUAAAAACAAGUUUAACUACAUUAAAUUGAUAGAAAAGUUUCCCA